rnacentral:rRNA from 1 species
CCUACGGGUGGCAGCAGUCGAGAAUCAUUCACAAUGGGGGAAACCCUGAUGGUGCGACGCCGCGUGGGGGAAUGAAGGUCUUCGGAUUGUAAACCCCUGUCAUGUGGGAGCAAAUUAAAAAGAUAGUACCACAAGAGGAAGAGACGGCUAACUCUGUGCCAGCAGCCGCGGUAAUACGGAGGUCUCAAGCGUUGUUCGGAAUCACUGGGCGUAAAGGGUGCGUAGGCUGUUUCGUAAGUCGUGUGUGAAAGGCGCGGGCUCAACCCGCGGACGGCACAUGAUCCUGCGAGACUAGAGUAAUGGAGGGGGAACCGGAAUUCUAGGUGUAGCAGUGAAAUGCGUAGAGAUCGAGAGGAACACUCGUGGCGAAGGCGGGUUCCUGGACAUUAACUGACGCUGAGGCACGAAGGCCAGGGGAGCGAAAGGGAUUAGAUACCCGAGUAGUC